rnacentral:rRNA from 1 species
AACCUUUACACUGCACGACAGUGCGAUAGGGGGACUCCGAGUGCGAGGGCAUAGAGCCCUCGCUUUUGUACACCGUAAGGUGGUGUACGAAUAAGAACUGGGCAAGACCGGUGCCAGCCGCCGCGGUAAUACCGGCAGUUCGAGUGAUGGCCGAUAUUAUUGGGCCUAAAGCGUUCGUAGCUGGCCGAUCAAGUCUGUCGGGAAAUCUGCUCGCCUAACGAGCAGGCGUCCGGCGGAAACUGAUCGGCUUGGGACCGGAAGACUCGAGGAGUACGUCCGGGGUAGGAGUGAAAUCCUGUAAUCCUGGACGGACCACCGAUGGCGAAAGCACCUCGAGAGCACGGAUCCGACAGUGAGGAACGAAAGCUGGGGUCUCGAACCGGAUUAGAUACCCGGGUAGUCCCAGCUGUCAACGAUGCCCGCUAGGUAUGGCGCAGGCUACGAGCCUGUGCUAUGCCGUAGCGAAGGCGCUAAGCGGGCCGCCUGGGAAGUACGUCUGCAAGGAUGAAACUUAA